UUUAGUAUAUAUGUUGCAUUGUAGUGCAUUAUUUGAUAGGUAAUACUUUUUGGUAGCAUAGUAAUAAGAUAGAUCAUCACAUUUUGAUUUAUUUCAAGCUUUAUCCAAGACAAGAGAUAAAGCUAUACACACAAUCAAAAGUAUAUAAAAGAAAAAUUAAGAAACGCACACAAAUGACAUAGGAGUGGCUGAUGGAUAACAUAGUGUGGUAUAGUGAUGAUGAAUUAUAUAGAUCAGAGAGGGAGAGACUUGCUUUGAUAAUUAAAAUUAAAGGUAUAGACUCCAGUGUAAAGACCAUCAUCACACACUCUCUCAACUUUUCUUCCAUUCCGAAGAAGAUCUCGUUGCGUGUACGAAAAUGGAAUAUCACAUUUGGCCUUAGUUGCAAGAAGAGUAACUUUCAUCUUUGUGUUUGGUGGUACAAUAACAGUAUAUGUUCCAGUUACUUCUUUACUUUCUUGAAUAGUUUCUCCCCAUUUGUAACUACCUUCAAAAGUGUAGUUGACUUUAAUCUCAGUUUCAAAAAGUGAAGGAACCCCGGCUUUAAUGGAAGUCUCUAUACCCACACCUAUGGUUAGUGAAGAUUCCCAAGUUUUAGAUUUUUCUUCUUGGUACCUCAAACUUACGGUCAUAAUCGCCUCUUUUGGGCUCGUGUUGAUAGCCUCCUCCGCGGCCAUUGUUAGUACUUGUGCGUCAUAUUUCCUCGCAUCCAUAGUUCGGUAUUGAAUAUUGUAGAUUUCCCUUGAAAUAAUUGGCUCAACGAUCUCCAAUUCUGCAUCCUGUGUGAUAGAAUCAAUAUUAGAGUUCAAAAAGUUCGACUUACCAUCAGCACUUAAAUUCCUACAGAACAUGCCAUUGGCAACGUUUCGAAGCGCGACUUUAUUUUUAGCAAUCUUGAUUGGCCAAAACAAGGUGUUUUUGUCGUUCUCCGUCUGGUCGUCUGAGUCAGCCUUGAUCCAGUUUGGGUCACGUCUCCAAAACAUCUUCGUAGAUUCAUUCUUAAUUCUUAUAGUUCCAUCGCCGACGUUGAAAACUUCUUGGCUCACCCUAGGGUCUCCAACGUCGUGGGCAUUGAAUUGCAAAUAUGUGGUGUAAUUAUAAGGAUAGGCAGCGAGAAACUUGUCACCGUUCUUAAAGGUGACGUAUUUAGGGAGUCGGAUGAUGUUUUCAAAAUCGACUAACAAAAGUAAUUUGUCGCCAUGAUGUUUUUCAUCUUGUUUAUAUCUAGUUGUGAGAACAUUGGGAUGAUUCUUGCAACUAGUACAUCGACAUGCAUAGGUUUGAAGCAAUACAUCAAAUAAAUAGUAAGUCCCUACAGUAGGACCUUGGAUGAUAUUAAACAAUGUGCAUGGCCAUGAGGUAUCGUUUUCACUCGGCUUGCUAACAAAGGGACGAACAAAGCGAUUGUAGUCAUUGGAAGAGGCUAAGUACUUGUUGUUGUAGCAACAUUUAAUGUGCCAAUAUUUACCAUUCUUGUCGGGCUCAAUCUCGAACUUUGUAAACGGGGUCAAAGCUUGAUCAGAAGAGAAGUAUAGAUUGCCCUUAAAAAAACCAUGGGUAAGGUAUUGAAGGUACUUCCUUUCUGUGUGGUUCUGAAAUCCUACAUACUUAGGGAGAAACGACAUUAUUAUAGAUAUGAUCAACAGAUACAAAGAGAGAGAGAGAGAUGAGCUUGAGUGUACGUGUAUGUAUGUAUAAGUUUUCUUCUUCUUAAUUACACACUUAAUUCUCUAAGGUGUGAGUACUAAUACCCAAUAUCCAAACCUCUUCUCUUUAUAUAUACAUGUAUGGAUAACUAAUAUUAACUAUUAUCUUCUGCAUGAUCGUAGGACGAUACAUCACUUAUAAUAUGGAUAACAAGGAAUCCUUACUUUACUUUUUUUCUUUAUUGACUAAAUAAUUUAAACUUUAUACUUUGUGUCAAUCAAAAAUAUCUCUCAACCCUAAAUAUAUAUAUUUUUAAAAAUAAUUUAAAGCAGCAUUUUCAAAAAUAGCAAAAUAAAAUAAAAUAUUUACAAGCUAUAACAAAAUUUUAGAUUUUAUGAGUGAUAAAAAUGUAGCAUAUCAAUGAUUAUCAGUUAUAGAAUUGAUUGUAAAUAUUUUGUAAAAUCUACUGCUUUUUUAAAUUUCCCUAAUUUAAAAGUAUUUACAUUGCAUUGCACAUGUUAUGUAAAAAGAAAAUAUUUAAAAGUUGUAGAUUCAUGGUACGGUGAUAGAAAACUACUAGCUAUAGAAUCCAAGAUUUUGCUAUAGUUUUUAAAUAUUUUAAUUAAUUUAUUUUGCUAUUUUAAAAAAUAGUCAUAAGACCAUAAAUUAGUUAUUUAAGAUUUUUUUCGAAAACUCAUUCUUAUGUUUUAGAUUUGGGAAAUUGUCAAAUAUUCAUUUACACUUUAUAGAAAAAUAAAAUUGAAUCACUCUCGAGAAAAUAUAAUUUUUGUUUGUUUUUUUGGAUGAAGUGAAAAUAGUUUGUCAAAUUUUUUUAUAUUUUUUUAAAAAAAUUGAAGAUUUGGUUAGCUUAAAUUAUUAUUUAUUAUUAAAAACCAUUAUAUAUAUUUUAAAAUUUUGUGAAUAUUUAGAAAUCUAAUUUUUUUAAAAACAUUGUUCACUUUUGGUUGUAGUGAAUAUAUAUCAAAAUCUAUUAGAUUUUCAAAAAAAAAUUAUCUCCAACCUAAUAUCUAUUAUUAUUUUCUAAAAAUUGUUCCGAUAGAAAUAUAUAAAAAAAUAUUAAUUUUUAUAUGUGGUGAUAGACUCUUAUCGCUGAUAUAGUCUAUAUUAUUGAUAGAUUUCCAAAUAUUGAUCUAAAUUUUGUUAUAUCAAAAAAGAAAAAAUAAAAACCAAAGUUUUUUACUACCGACACCUUUUUCCACUCUCCAACACUAGAGUCACCCACCUUUCUACAACAUAAUGGAUGUGAGACAAACACUUUUAAUAUUUUGCCAAAAAUUCUUACAAAAAUGAUAUUUUCAGUACGUGGAACCCUCCGUUUAAAAUUUGCAGAACUAGGAAGAUUUAGAAAAAGUCGUUUUAGAAAAGAGGUUAAUAUAAUUGCUAACCUGAGUAGUUAUCUCAAGGACAAGAGAUCUCGAAUUCAAAUCUUUCCACGCUUCCGUAUUGUAUUAUUUAAACAUAUCUUUAAAAAAACUUAAUUAAUUUGUAACCUAAAAAUAAAUAACAUUAUCUUUUUGUUUUCUUUUCAUACGAAGAUUAUAUUGCUGCUUAAGAACAAUAUACUUUACUAAAUUCUUUUGUUUGAGCAGACUAGAACAUACUGAUAUAUUCCAUGUUUCACAUUGUUGAACGACUUUAACUUUUACAUUCAUACAACUUUUGUACGAGCAUCUUAUUUUUGUUUCGAGUCAUUGACAUUCAACCUCGCCAGUUCCAAAAUAUGGGGCUGUUUAUUAAUUCUCUCUCUUUAGUUAGGAGGGUCUCUAUCUCUAAAUAAAAAGUUGUUUAAAUAAUUGAUCCUCAAUCUGCUUUUAAUAUACAUGUUAUUGACCAAGGUUAUAUAAAUGUUAUUAGUACAUAUUAAUCAAGAGUUCAAAAAUGUUAUGUAUUUUUUUCUUAAACUAAUAUUAUUUAAGGUAAUGUGAUCCCAAACCUUAAGUUACUUAAUGAAGCAAUGAAGAAGAAUAUAGCUAAAUAUAGUAGAUGCCUUUAUCUUUCUUUCUUUGAUCAUUUCGUCUUCAUCUUAUUCCAUUGCUAGAUUAGAUCUUGUUGAACUUAUAUCUAAUACCAUAAAUCUUUCUUCAUUUAUGCUUGAAUUAUUAAACUACAUUCUAUUUCCUUACCCGAACUUUGAAUACUUUAAAGAAAAAUAUUUAAAAAAGUAGAUUUUACAAAAUAUUUACGAACAUAUACCAAAUUCUAUCAUAUCAGUCAUAGAAUCUAAAAUUUUGCUAGUAAAUACUUUAUUUUAUUUUGUUAUUUUUAAAAAUGUUUUAUAUAUAAAACAUCGAUAUAAAAACAGUAAAAAGACUUUUAAAGACAGAUUUGUCCGGUUUUAAAUUAAAUGUAUUGAAUUAAAAAAUUAUUAGGUAAAUUGAUUUUUAAAAAGAGAAAUUUUUAGAAAUAGUAGAUUUUACAAAAUAUUUACAACUUAUAGCAAAUUCUAUCACUGAUAGUCAUUGAUAUGCUAUCGUGAUAGAAGACUAUCAUUGAUGGAAUCUAAAAUUUUGGUAUAGCUUGUAAAUAUUUUAAUUUAUUUUGCUAUUUUAAAAAAUGUUCCUCCCCAACCUAAAAGUUUUGUUUAAUUAAAUAAUUAGAGUAAUAAUAAGAAUUUAGCUUUAAUGAUUGGAAUAAAAAAACGGUUAAUAACUAAUUGAGUCCAAACUUACCGUAUAAACACACACAAGAUUGAAGAUCGAAAAUUGCUCGAAGAUGAAGAUGAAAAUUGAAAUUGUUCAUAGUAAAACAUUAUUUGUUAAUUUAUAAUUUUUUUUGUUAUAGUUUAUACUGUUUUUUUUGUUAAUAAUUCAACCGUUUAUAAUAUUUUUUGUGCAUAGAAACGUACAAAACUUUAUUUUCAUAAACUUUUAAUUUAUCCAAAAAAAAAUGAGAUGUGUUAUUUUGAUUUAAUUAUUUAGUUCAUUUUCUAUAAGAUAGAUGAAAAAAGGUGUGAUUAAUAAAGUUAGAAGUUUUUCUAAAAUCGUGAAUAAAAGUAAUUACAAUUGUUUACAAAUUUAAUUAUAUUAUAGCAAAUCAAAAAUAAAAAUAGAAAACCUGUUAGCAUUUAAAAUUUUAUAGUUUGUUACAUUUAUUAUAUAAAUGUGUUUGAAAUCGUAUUCAAAUAUACAUUUUCUUUCACAGAAAUUUGUUCAAAAUAAUAUUAUGUAGAUUUAUUGUAGCAGAGAUUUAUAGAGAAAAUGUCAAUAAAGCUGAUAAAUAAAAAAAGGGAUAAAAGUUCUAUUUUUUAAAAAAUGGAUCAUACUCGUUCACCCAUCGUUGUAUUGCAUAAAUUUACGAGCAUUUCCAAUCUUAUAAGUAUUUUUUUGAAGACUAAAUGUACAAUUGUAUUGAUACAAAAGCAUACAUGUAUGGUAAUACUUAGUGAAUUAAAAUUAUAGUUAUAAUACAUUGUGUGGACAUUUAAUUUUUUUUUAAGGAAAGGAGAAAUCUAAUUAGUAAUUUAAGAUAAUUAUCCAAAAUUAUAUAACUGUGAAUGCUUUGUAAUUAAAAUAAUAAAUAAAUUAGUUAUUUUCUAAUAUCAAAAUAAACUAAAAUAUUUAAAGUAUAGGAAAGUAUCACUUAUAGGUGUUGAUAGAUACAAUAAAUUUAUGAAUGUUUAUCAUUGAUUUACUAUGAAAAUUCUCUUAUAAUUAAAAAUAAUUUCAACCAUUUUAUUAUUGGGACACUUGCAAAAAUGACAAAACAAGUUAUAAUAAUUAAGUCCAUAACACACAAGUUUUAUUAUUUUCGAAGAUGGCAAAAACGAAGUCCAACCCACACAUCAAGAGGUAAAAUAUCACUAAUGUCUUUGUUACUAAUAUACAUCUGAUACACCUUAUACACGUCUGAUACACCUAAUACACCCCUUGAUACACCUAAUAUACCCCUUGAUACACCUGAUACUUCUUGAUACACCCGAUAUAUUUGAUUGAUACACUUGAUGCACCUAAUACUUUUUGAUACAUUCGAUACCUUUUGAUACACACCUGAAACAUUACUAAUAUAUGUUUGAUACACUGCAGAUACAUUUAGUAUUCUUCACUUAUACAAUUGAUUGAUUAAAUGCACUUGAUAUGCUUGAAGUCCUACUUAUAUACUUGAUAUAAUAUUGAUAUACACUUGUAAACUUGAUUCAUAUACUUGAUAAUGAUUCACUUUACUAAUAUGUUUUAACAAUAUAUUGUUAAUAUACUUGAUAAUGAUACACUGAGUUACAUCAUUCAUAUACUUAAUAAUACUCUAACGAACUACGUAAAGUUUGAAAAAACGAAAAUCAUGUAGUAAGUAUAUUAACCAACUAAUACAUAUAAUAUAAGUAUAUCACAACACUAUAUACGAAACUGAGAAAAAGUAAAACAAAAAAAUUAAUGUAAAAAAAUAAAACAAAAUCAUUUGGAAUCUAAUUCAACUCAAAAUACAUAUCGAAGGAAGUAAAAAAAAAAUCACAAAUGAAGUUAAUUACUCCGAUCAACAACCAUUAUAUUAUAUUUCAUAUUGCAAUUAUUGUACUAUUGAUAUUUUAAAAUUAAGAUUAAGACAAAAAGAAUAAAUUAUUUUUUUAGUAUAAGAAUAAACAAAUAAUUAGGGUCUUAGAAAGUGAGAGAAUAAAUAAAUAAUAAGUAGACAUUAAAUAGAGGAAGAGAAAUAAGUUAUUGAACGGUAAUUUAGGAAUAAUAACAAACUUAAGAUGAAGAAGUAAAAAUUUUGCCAUAUUUACAAAAUUCUAAAACAAUGUGCUAUAAUUGCUAUAUUAUAUUCUCGAAAUGUUAUCAUAAGGAAUUUUUAAAUAUUAUUUACAACUAUUUUUUAAAAUUAUAAUAUAUUACUUAUUUGUAAAUUCCCACCUAAAAGUUAACAUAGCUAGAUUAGGAGAUGAUUGCAAAUAUGAUUUUAGCAUUAUGGUUAUAAAAAUUUGAAGCAUACAUUUACAAAAUCACCAACUUUAUGUGUGUAUAUAUAUAUGACAAAUUAUGUGCAAUAGAAUCUUUAGAAUUUGAGUCUAAAAUCAAAAAUUUAUAAUAUAUAUGUGUGUAAAUUUUAAAAUAACUAAAUAUGCAUCUCAACUUCAAAUAUAUAUAUGUGACACAUAGAUAAAAUAUAUAUGUUAAUAGAAAAGAGAUUAGAAUUAAAAUAUGUAUAAUUUUUAGUAUUAUCUUUUUUUGCAUUGAACUGCAUUAUUUGUUAGGUAAUACUUUUUGUAGCAUAGUAAUAAGAUAGAUCACAUUUUGAUUUAUUAAAAGCUUUAUCCAACACAACAGAUAAAGCUAUACACACACUCAAGAGUAAGUAAAAGAAAAAUUAAGAAACACAAACACAAAUGACAUAAUAGUGGAUGAUGGAUAAUAUAGUGUGGUAUAGUGAUGAUGAAUUAUAUAAAUCAGAGAGGAAGAGGCUUGUUUUGAUAAUCAAACUUAAAGGUAUAGACUCCAGUGUAA
rnacentral:lncRNA from 1 species